UUGACAGGGCUGUAGACUGAAGUCCCCCAUUUAUCCAGACAGCAGGUGCAGCAUAGGCAACAGCAAUUGAAGUUUCCCCAUGUUGACCUACCUAGCAUAUUUGUGUCCUGACUUUAAAGAAACAAUUCUAAGAUAUGAGGAUAUUUCAGUCUCCAGGGGCCAUCUACUCUUAGCCCUC
rnacentral:sRNA from 1 species